rnacentral:lncRNA from 1 species
UCCUCUGUAGGACUGUCCCGUGGGAUGCUGCAGCGUCUCCAGCGGAGCGUCAAGGAGAGGCAGCCAGGAGCAUGGUAUCAUGGGCUCGUGUCCAUGUCCAGCACUGAGGCUAGCAGAGAAGCAAAAGCACUAACAAGCAAACCCCUGUGUGUUGUGCCACCCCCCUCCUAUGACCAUGUCACCAGCCCCACUGUGAUGUGGCCGUGGCAUCAGUGGGGCUGGUGCCAGCGGCACAGUGUGGGUAGGAACUGGGUGUUGACCUUCCUCAGCAUGUGGCCAUGAAGUCCAAGGAUCUGUCCUGUCGAAUGUUGACGUGUCUUGGGCUCGCGUCUGUGUCCAGCGCUGAGGCUAGGCAACAAGAGAACCACCCAUGUGUAAUACCAGGCGUCUCCUGGGCCCACCAUGUCCCCAGCCCCACUGUGAUGUGGCUGUGACACCAGUGGGGCUGGUGUCAGCAGCACAAUGUGGGAAGGGACUGGGAGUUGACCUUCCUCAGCAUGUGGUCAUGAAGUCCAGGGAACUCUCCUGUCGAAUGUUGUCGUGUCAUGGGCUCACGUCCGUGUUCAGCGCUGAGGCUAGCAGAGAAACAAGUACAGACAAGAAGAGAAGCGCCAUGUCUACUAGCAGGCCUCUCCUGGGCCCACCCUGUCCCCAGCCCCACUGUGAUGUGGCCUAACAUCACCAGGGCCUGUGCCAGCAGCACAAUAUGGGAAGGGACUGGGAUUUGACCUUCCUCAGCAUGUGGCCAUGAAGUCCAGGGAUCUGUCCUGUCGAAUGUUGACGUGUCAGGGGCUCGUGUCGGUGUUCAGCACUGAGGCUAGGCAAGAAGAGAACCACCCAUGUGUAAUACCAGGCGUCUCCUGAUCCCACUGUGUCACCAGCCCCACUGCGAUGUGGUCGUGACACCAGCGGGGCUGGUGCCAUCAGCACAAUGUGGGAAGGGACUGGGUGUUGACCUUCCUCAGCAUGUGGUCAUGAAGUCCAGGGAUCUGUCCUGUCGAAUGUUGACGUGUCAUGGGCUCGUGUCCGUGUCCAGCGCUGAGGCUAGCAGAGAAACAAGUACAGACAAGAAGAGAAGCGCCAUGUCUACUAGCAGGCCUCUCCUGGGCCCACCCUGUCCCCAGCCCCACUGUGAUGUGGCCUGACAUCACCAGGGCCUGUGCCAUCAGCACAAUAUGGGAAGGGACUGGGAUUUCACCUUCCUCAGCAAGUGGCCAUGAAGUCCAAGGAUCUGUCCUGUCGAAUGUUGAUGUGUCAGGGGCUCGAAUCUGUGUCCAGCGCUGAGGCUAGGCAACAAGAGAACCACCCAUGUGUAAUACCAGGCGUCUCCUGGGCCCACUGUGUCCCCAGCCCCACUGUGAUAUGGCCGUGACACCAGUGGGGCUGGUGCCAGCGGCACAAUAUGGGAAGGGACUGGGAUUUGACCUUCCUCAGCAUGUGGCCAUGGAGUCCUGGGAUCUCUCCUAUCGAAUGUUGACUCGUCUCCAGUGGAGUGCUGGAAGAAGGCUGUAGCCAUGGUUUGCUCUGUCGUUUUCCAGGAUUCUAUCUGUAAUAAUAAAUAAUAAAAAAAACCCA